rnacentral:lncRNA from 1 species
GUCAUAUUUGUCCGGGAUGAAAUGAACGUCAAUUUGAUUUUAAAAAUAAACUAUAAAACAAAUAUGGUCCGAUCACAUGGUUUCAAAAGUUCGUUCAAUUUUAAUUUUUUUAUGAGUUAUGUACUUAUUGAUCCUUACAAAAUGAACAAUUCAGAUCACAUAAUUAAUGCGGACCGAGUCUUAUAUAAGGCGGUAAGCAAUGUUGUUCUUUUUGAGCACAUCGCUUAUUCCAAAUUCUCUGCAUGGAGUGAGCAACAAGGCCGUGGACUCCGGUCUUUGUUUGCCUUGCCACUCAUAAUUAUUUGAGGGGCCCGCGUUUUGUGGGGUUAUUGACCAUGAUGACUAAUAUUUUUUACUAGGAAAUGCUAUGAAUAUACCUAACUUGUAUCUCAAAUGCACAUUUAAUAAAAUUGACCAUUUGAAUUGAUUGAAAAGAUUGUGUGGACCUCACACUUAGCCAAUUUAAAUGCUCACUUCAGAUGUGCAUUUGGGAUAAACCAAAAUUCUUUUGACUUGAUUAUUGUAAAAUAGACUGUUCAAAUAAUUUAGAUUUUAUUUUAAAUUAAUUUUAAUAAUUUAAAUUAUUCAUGUUGUAAAAUUUGUUAAAGAUUUUAAUAUUAUUAAAAAAUUCGUUGAUAAAAUAUUAAUUUAUAAUAUAUUAAUAUCAAUUUAUAUUAAAAAAAUUACAUUAAAAUUCUCCAAAUUAUUGUAUUCUCAACCUGAGUGUCAGAAAGCGUGUAGAACAGAAGAACCGACGUGUCAGAAAGUGUGUGGAACAUGAGGAUUGACAAUGAGUCAAAAAAAAGUCAAUCUCUCUCUAAUUCUUUAUAUUAUUCACAAGACUAGGCCAUAAAGUUCACUGUUCAUUGUCACGAGAACUUUCAUAAGAAGAUUUACAAGUCGGCAGAUGAUCAUUUUGUCCCAACUUUCUGUCUCAGUUAUAAAUGGAUAACACAUAUGUAUUUAAAAUUUAUUAAAAAAAAUUAUAUAAUUUUAUAAAUUAUAAAUAAACAAGUAUCAUCCAACUAGAUUAAGACAGGAUUAUAUCUCAAAUGUUUUGGGACAGCAGAUUCCAACUCUUACCAGUCUAACUACUCCUGAAAGUUUAGUGUUGUGCCACGUGUUUCACUUUAUCCACGAUCACAGACGUACGCUCGAGUAAGGCUGUUCAAAAAAAUAAGUAGAACUAAAAUAUCAGAAUAUUGAAUCUUAGGGCAUGUUUGGUAAUAUUUAAAAGUCAAGUUUUUUUUAAAGUUUAUUAUCAAAAAAAGUUAGAUUUUUUAAUUUUCUGGCUUUACUUUAGCUAAAAAUAAGCAAAAAAGUAAAAUAAAAAAGUAAAAAAGCAAAAAAAAAUGACUUUUUUGUUUAUAAAUUUAAAAAAAGCCAGCCGAAAAGCAGGUACCAAAUAGAGCCUUAAUAUUAGAAUAGCUUAUGUAAGGGAAUAAAUUAUACAAUUAUGAAUUCUGGCAUUCUUAGGGUAAGCACCGCCAACAAACUAUCAUUAUGAAGCAAGCUAUGUGGUCCCCUAUGCCGGGACUCGAUCGAGACACUACCAAACAUUGGCACUGUAAGGUUACCAUCACUUUCGAGUUGUCACUGUUUAGUAACCGGAGUUUGGCCAAGCACUGUUUUUAAAACCGGACCGGACGGUCAACAGUUUGUGGCGAUCCAACAGGUAAAUUUAAACUUUUUUGAUUUUUCUUAACGAGAUAAGACUGAAAAUGUAAAAAUUUUUAUUUAAUUUCCAAAAACAAUUUAUAAAAAUUAUUAUUUUUGAAAAAAAUAACUUUAUUUUUUAUAAAAGAAAAACUGUUAUAUAUUUUAAAAAUUAUUCUCAAUAAUAUAUAUAUUUCAAAACUAUUUUUUUUAAUAUUUUUUCGAUUAAAUGUUUUUCAAAAAAAAUAUUUUUCAGAAAAACGGUUAAUUUUCAAAAAAAAAUUGGUAAAAAAAAUUAAUUUAAUAAAAAAAAUUAUUAAAAAAACUAAUAAAAAAGAAACAAAAAAAAAACUAAAAAAACGAAAAAGAGAGGAGAGAGAGAGAGAGAGAGAGAGAGAAUUGUCCAAUAGGUGUGAAGGCAAAUUAGUAAUUUUACAAGUAAUAAUGGGGGACAAAAUCUGACAAGGGUGGUCAGUACCGAAACCUCAGGGGAGAUCAUUGUAAUUUUUUAAACUUUAAGAGUACUUUAUGUAUUAAUCUGAAACCUCAGGGGAGGUCAGUGUAAUUUACCCUUAUUAAAAUUGCCAAAAUGGAUUUUCGCCAAUUUCGCCAUUUCACCCAUUUUAACUUGUUGACGUCGUCAAAAUCAAAAUCGUUAUAUCACCGAUUUGAUUAUUAACAUCGCCUACCUAAGUUUUACUCGCCCGCCCAAAAGGUAGAAAAAUAAUUGGGAGUUACAUCCUCCAAUUAUUCAACUAAGGCAUCUUGCUCAUCAAAAUUGUGAAUUUCAGAAAGCUGGAGCAUCUCAGUUUUUUUUAUUUUUGAAAUUGCAACAAUUUUUUUG